UGCCAGCCGCCGCGGUAAUACGGAGGGUGCAAGCGUUGUUCGGAAUUACUGGGCGUAAAGCGCGCGUAGGCGGCUUUUCAAGUCAGAUGUGAAAGUCCACGGCUCAACCGUGGAAGUGCAUUUGAAACUGGGGAGCUUGAGUACUGGAGGGGAUGGUGGAAUUCCCGGUGUAGAGGUGAAAUUCGUAGAUAUCGGGAGGAAUACCGGUGGCGAAGGCGACCAUCUGGCCAGAUACUGACGCUGAGGUGCGAAAGCGCCGGCAGCUAACCGGAUCAGAUA
rnacentral:rRNA from 1 species